GAGUUUGAUCUUGGCUCAGAACGAACGCUGGCGGCAGGCUUAACACAUGCAAGUCGAACGGACGUAGCAAUACGUUAGUGGCGCACGGGUGAGUAACGCGUGGAUAUCUGCCUUUUGGUUCGGGAUAACCUUGGGAAACUAGGGCUAAUACCGAAUGGUUCCUACGGGAUAAAGAUUUAUCGCCAAAAGAUGAGUCCGCGUCCGAUUAGCUAGUUGGUGGGGUAACGGCCCACCAAGGCGACGAUCGGUAGCUGGUCUGAGAGGACGAUCAGCCACACUGGGACUGAGACACGGCCCAGACUCCUACGGGAGGCAGCAGUGGGGAAUAUUGGACAAUGGGGGCAACCCUGAUCCAGCCAUGCCGCGUGAGUGAUGAAGGCC
rnacentral:rRNA from 1 species